rnacentral:rRNA from 1 species
UCGUGGGUUGACCUGUCUGCUUGAUUGCGAUAACGAACGAGACCUCCACCUACUAAAUACAACGCUGCAGAACUGUUGUAGUUGUUCUUAGAGGGACUAUCGGUGCAAGCCGAAGGAAGCUGGAGGCAAUAACA